rnacentral:tRNA from 1 species
GGAGGGCUGGCAGAGCGGUUGAAUGCACCAGUCUUGAAAACUGGCAAGGGUUUACGCCCUUCGUGAGUUCGAAUCUCACGCCCUCCG